GAAAAAGAAUUCCUCAAAAAAAUAGUUAUAGAAAAGCUUUUACCAAAAUUACUUGUGUAAAUAAUAAUAUUAUGCUUUUAGCAUUUAUAGUAGCUUUAAUGAGUUUUGUUUAGGUUUUAAUACACCUGACAGUCAUGAUAUUAAUAGAUAAUAUAGCAUAUGGAUUUCAUAUCUAUUUUUGUGAGCCUAUAAUCUCUAUUUGGUUUUCGUUAAUAAUUGUAAUUCAACGGUGACACUAAAUACAGAAUUGAGUCCGUCAUCAAAAAAGAAUAACUUGCCAUUGUUGAGUUAACACUUGUUCGUGCUUCAAUUGGACCAGAUGCUACAGCAUCUAAUAUCCCAUACAUCUCAAUGUUUCCUGCAAAAUUGUGCAGCAUACACCUGUCAAGCACAACACACACACUCAAUUUAAAGAACAUUAAAAAAAAAUACAAUAAAAAGGAAUAAGGAUGCAUACAUCAGAGACUUGGAUAAUCUAUAAAUAUAACUAACAUCAAAGCUCUAAAUCUUAGUGUAUGUUAAACUAUAGGAGGCACAGGAUCCCCCCGAUAGCCAACAAACGUAAAAUUGUGCAAAUAUUCACCUAUAGUGAGAAAGGUGAGAAGUUAUAACUUUUCAUAGAGGAUAAAUAUGUUGUGCAAAUAUCUUUUCAAAGAAGACAUAAAUUGUGCAUAUAUUCACUAUAUAAAUCUUCACAUAUAUAUACUUAUUAUUAUAUAUAUAUAUAUAUUUAUAUAUAUUAUAUAUUAUUAAUAUAUAUUUUAAUAUUAUAUAUAUAUAUAUUGUGUGUGUGUUUUGGAGAAAAUUAUACUCUCCUCUUCUCUGUAAAAAAACUUGAACCACGCCUGUUAAAAUUUACCAUUUUCAUUCUUGAUAAGUAAAUAUAGAUUACACUUUAUCCCAUUUUAAAUAAAUUAAGUUUCUUCUGCAUCUUUCUUUUAUCUGUUUUUAAUCAUCAAUGUCAGUAACAUACAGUUUUCAAAUCUUCCAGUUCCAAAUCGUAUUUAACUAUCUUCUCAUUAAAAGGCUUGUUUACAUUAAAAUAAAAUAAAGUGUAAUAUAUGCUUACUUGCCAAGGAUGAAGUUGUAGAUUUUAACAUAAGAGAAGAGAAAAGUGUAAUUCAAACUUCCCUCAUGAAAGGGGAUAUAAUUUACCCUAUUUUUAUUUAAAAUUAUAUGAUGGAAAAUGACUUUCCAGAUGUAAGGAACACCAUAAAACUGCUCUGAGGUAGUCCAUAUGGGUUUAACUUCAGCAAACAGAUCAAGAACAACCAGAUUUCCCACCGGAACAGAAUGCAAAAGAGCCUGAAAACAAGCACACACAAAAAUCAUAUAUGAAAGAUAAUUAAGUUAGAAUAAAUAACCAGGAUGAACUCCUAAUUCUAGAAAGCAUAUAUAUUGAAUAGAGAAUCCACUUCUUCAAAUGUGUAUAU
rnacentral:lncRNA from 1 species